GCGUAUAGAACCUACCUCUUACAGGGGAAUAGCCCAGAGAAAUUUGGAUUAAUGCCCCAUAGUAUUAUUGAAUGGCAUCGUUUAAUAAUUAAACAUUUAUGGGUAAAAGAUGGCUAUGCGUUCUAUUAGCUAGAUGGUAAGGUAACGGCUUACCAUGGCAACGAUAGAUAGGGGUCCUGAGAGGGAGAUCCCCCACACUGGUACUGAGACACGGACCAGACUCCUACGGGAGGCAGCAGUGAGGAAUAUUGGACAAUGGAGGCAACUCUGAUCCAGCCAUGCCGCGUGCAGGAAGACUGCCCUAUGGGUUGUAAACUGCUUUUACAGAGGAAGAACCACCCCCACGUGUGGGGGUUUGACGGUACUCUGCGAAUAAGGAUCGGCUAACUCCGUGCCAGCAGCCGCGGUAAUACGGAGGAUCCAAGCGUUAUCCGGAAUCAUUGGGUUUAAAGGGUCCGUAGGCGGGCAGUUAAGUCAGUGGUGAAAGUCUUCCGCUCAACGGGAGAACUGCCAUUGAUACUGAUUGUCUUGAGUUAUUAUGAAGUGGUUAGAAUGAGUAGUGUAGCGGUGAAAUGCAUAGAUAUUACUCAGAAUACCGAUUGCGAAGGCAGAUCACUAAUAAUAUACUGACGCUGAUGGACGAAAGCGUAGGUAGCGAACAGGAUUAGAUACCCUGGUAGUC
rnacentral:rRNA from 1 species